UACGGGGGGGGGCAAGCGUUGUUCGGAAUUACUGGGCGUAAAGGGCUCGUAGGUGGCCAACUAAGUCAGACGUGAAAUCCCUCGGCUUAACCGGGGAACUGCGUCUGAUACUGGAUGGCUUGAGUGUGGGAGAGGGAUGCGGAAUUCCAGGUGUAGCGGUGAAAUGCGUAGAUAUCUGGAGGAACACCGGUGGCGAAGGCGGCAUCCUGGACCAUUACUGACACUGAAUAGCGAAAGCCAGGGGAGCAAACGGGG
rnacentral:rRNA from 1 species